rnacentral:rRNA from 1 species
UACGUAGGGUGCAAGCGUUAAUCGGAAUUACUGGGCGUAAAGCGUGCGCAGGCGGUUUUGUAAGUUUGUCGUGAAAGCCCCGGGCUCAACCUGGGAAUUGCGAUGAAGACUGCAAGGCUUGAAUCUGGCAGAGGGGGGUAGAAUUCCACGUGUAGCAGUGAAAUGCGUAGAGAUGUGGAGGAACACCGAUGGCGAAGGCACUUUACUGGGCUAUUACUAACACUGAGAGACGAAAGCUAGGGUAGCAAAUGGG